rnacentral:miRNA from 15 species
AUGUUCAUCUGUCCGUACUGCC